rnacentral:misc_RNA from 1 species
AUGGGCUGUUCGAGCCGCCCUGGGUUGCUGCUCGCCCUGUGCGUCACAGAGUUCAUCAGGUGUUCCGCCACGUGAGGUAUAAUGUGCUCUUCACAACCAAUAUUCGGCCCGAUCUAUUCCCAUGUUGUCCCUGCUGUACACUUCGUGCACAUAUGUGCACACAGGUUUUGUUCAACCAGCGCCCUCAUUUUGAGACGGACCUCCUUUUUCUGUAAGAUGUUGACUUUCACGAACAUGAUCUGGAAGAAUUCCUCUCAAAGACUGUGUAUGUUAGCGUAUUUCGAAGCGCCCCGGGAGAGAGGCUGACGGUUGUUUUGUUGCAGUACGCGGUGCCCAGUGAAAGCUUCUGCUUUGACUCGACUGGUGCCACGAUACGCACGUGGACACGUACUCCGAAAACAGUCGUUUCGUUUGGAGAAAUAUUGGAAUUGUGAUAGCUCUUCGCUAUAGUGAGACAGGACUUUUGUUUGUGCUUGGAACAACCUACUUGCUCUGGGACACGUAUGACUCUGAUGUGAAGGCCGUUCACGCAGCAGAUUGCGUGACACGGUCGGUGGAGUUUGCGCCGUGUACGGAAAGAUCGUUUGUAACUUUAUCCGGAGAUCUCAACUCAACGCCCGAAUUGCAUGAGAUAGAGCUGCCUCUGAAUGGUUCAACGAUUCUGCCGAGCCUUGGAGCCAGUGCACCUUGCAGUGAUUCGAGGACCACGGAAGCCUCCCUAUCCUCGCCAACAACUCCGAGCCCUGGAACGGCUUACUCGAAAGCAAGAUUCGCUCGCUAUCCCCGACUUCCAGAGGAACGUAUUGUGCAGCUUCCAGAAAAUCAAACUUUGUGCCAUACGUACGAUGCGAUGGUAACGGAUGUGCUCGAGCCUCUGUGAGCGACUCGGAGGAAGAAGUUUUGUAUAAGUUAUUGACUCUAUUCUCACUCAACCAUCGCAUGCCGCUGCGGAACAAAUCCUUUGCUCUUCAGAGGGUUUCGAGGAAGAAUCUUUUAGUCCAAUGAUGUAUCCCCUUCGGGUCACUUCCCCGCUGUGGCACACACAAGCUUUAUGUCGGAUCUGAGUCAGUGCGAUUUCUCGAACGUCAUUGCUUGGUUUUAUAAGAAAACAAAGGGGCACCACUUGCCCAGGGUUUGGUUCAUCGCGAACACUUGAUCGUGAACAUCGGAACAUCGCUCUAUUGCGAAGCUGGUUGCACCGAGCCACAGAAGAGCGGUAUUUCUAGCAAGAGGCUCGACCCGAAACUCUGAAGAACACCAUCGGAUGAAGUGAGAGCAUUAUCACACUGUCCGACGUGGCCUGUGAGCGCCGACACUCAUCCAAUAUAUUCGUGUUCACGAGCUGCUGUUGCAUAGAAAAACCGCAACAGCAGCAGCUGCUACAACGAGCGUUCCUCUGGUGUGCGACACCGGCAGGAUUUACAUCGGGCGCAGAGCCUCUCAACAGCGUGAGGCGGUUUUAUGUCUCAAAUGCCGGUGCGAGCCGUUCAAAGCAAACAUUUUGCAUUGAGGAAUACUACACUGCCAGCAUCUUGUUCAUAAUAGAUUCAUGACACCGAGGAGGUUUCGUAGAGAAUACGUGAUAAGAGUCUGAGCACAUUCCUGAGGAGUUUGCGCUACAUCGGUGUGCCGUAUGGAGCAUUUUAUGGACGGAAAAGUAUGAGGGCACGAAACUUCAGAACCUCGAAUCAAACUGCAACAUAUCUACAAACUGUCAAAUAGGACGUCCACUUGCCUUGUCUCUAUUCUUCUACAGGUAACAGGGACUGAUGCAAUGAAUUUUUAGUGGCGUAUUGGAAUCCGGGCCGAAUAUCCAAAGAGGCGCUGGAUGCUCGAUUUCCAAUCUGUAGCCGCGCAUCCGGGCAAGGUUGCUCGGAAAACCGGUCUAUUUCGGCAGCAGUCCGCAGUUCGCGACCUCAGACAUUGCGCGCGGACUACACACUAGAGCAGAGCAUGCGGCUGGCCGCCCUGCAUCCUGAUGCAACCACAGACGCAGUAGGUAGCCUCGACAACAAUAGACCGAAGCGUUGCGCAUCAAGGCACUUUUGGUGGUUGCUCGCGGACGAAAAAUUUUAUCCCAGUUUUUCCACUUAAGAUCGUAUGAACACGAGAUUCCCAACCAACAUGCCUAAUAACAACAAGAGAUAGAGCAAAUCUAUCACAGAAUUUGAAUUAUGAAGGUCUUCAUUCGAUGUGAAGCUUUUACAAGCGUUAUAAACACCUGCGGAUUCGAACGCA